CACGCUUCCGCAACAAAUAAAGCGAGAGGAUUGAAAUGCAUCUUCUUGAAAGCAAAUAUUGGAACCUUCGAAGAGACUGGUUCCAAAUGUAGCUGUGCUGAGGGUGUUUAUAACUACUGCUCUGUGAAGUACGCCUGUGUGCAUAGCAGGCCAUUUCCCUGUAAGGGCUUCUUGCAGAGUGGCAGGCAUGACCUUAGAGCCUGAACUAAUGUCCAUCUUUUUGGCUUGGGCUGAGUUUUAUCUUGUGACGAUGUUUGAUUGUCAAAUUGCACCAUUCCUUCUCCCCAGGUAGUGUCCCUCCGCUCAGCCAGGGCUAGUUCUGCUCUAGGAGCUGUUAGAGGGAGCAGAAAUGCAAAUAUAACUGUGGAUGGAAGCCUUCUUCGCACAAACCCUUCUAUCCUAAGCUUCCAGGAGUUUGUCUUUUUCCCGUGGUGCAUUUUCAACCUGUUCUUCCUACUUUAGGAGCGUGCCCUACCUUCCCCACCCUAUUCCUACCCCCUGGAGGCAGGGAGGACACAUUUCUCUGCCUCAUCCUUUUUGACUUUUGGAUUCUGCUGUGUGCUUUGUCAGCUUUCAAGGCGCUUCUUUCUGCGCUGUGCCAGGCUCUAGGGAGGGAUCUUGAGAUAGGUGCAGGUAUUUUUGUGACUGCUGAAGGAUUUUUUUUUUGCUGUCAUGGCUUUUUUUUUUUUUAUUUUCCUCAAUACAUUGCGAUCCUAAAUGGCAAUUUUCCAUGCUAUAAUCUGGGCAUGGCUGGUUUGUGCUUAGAUGCAAUGGAACUUGAUGCCAACAUUUUGCUAGAAGAAUAGUGAUCAUUGUGUUGAUGCUAAGCUAACGUUGCAGCUUGGUGAAAGCAGUGCCAGAAAUGGCUGCUUGAAAAUUUUGGUAAGGUAAACAAGCAGUAAGACCACUCCAACACAGUUCAUAAGAAAUGCUACCAUGCCACUGUUGAAUUCCAGCGUGGGAGAAGACUAUUGUGUGUUUCUAUUAUUUUUUUUUUUCUUUUCAUUUGCUGCUUGGCAGCACUUUGCUGCUGCUGUGUGUGAAUUUCUGUUCAGUACUGGCUGAGCUUAUCCUGGGAGAGAGGGGUUCAGCCUUCCCUCAGCUCCCUUUGUGUGAAGAGCACUCUGGAUGUGUUGAUGGCCUUCAGGUGUGAUGCUGCUGCUUGGCUUGGCAGCAGAGUCUACCUCUGGCCAGAGGAAUUCAGGAGGUAAAGCAGGAGGACAGCCAGCUGAAAGUCUGCAGGGGGAAGGUAAACACUUCCCUUUUCAUAGGGUGGCCUUAAGGAACCUCAUGUUGGAAAGUGACAGUGGCUGUGAGUUCUGGAUUAGAAAAAGCCUGUGGACAGAUUUCCUGCGGGUCACAGCCAGAGAAGUGAAGUUUGCAGAUAUUACGCUGUAUCAAUGUCUGCUCUGUUGGAGGUAAUGGCUUCUAAAAUCAGGACCAUCAGCAUGACGUGAUUGAUGCAAACACAUCUGUUCCCACUGCGUGCAUUUAAGUCUCCUCCUAUGCCUCCCCAAAAGAAGCCUUUAACACAAAGCAACCCUCUGCAUCUGCUGAUACCGGAUGGCAAGAGGAGAGAGAUGCUGCUUACCGUCCUAGUGAAGAUGUUAAAUAAAGAGGCUUUGAUGUGAGAUACAGAACUGAUUUUUGCCUCGUGAUUUUCUGCAGCCAGCAGGUGUCUCGGUCAUUCUUUCUCCAGUGCAUUGGCUCCCUGCACCCUAGGGAUGGCAGUUUUAGUUAUCAGAGCCCUACUAAAAGGAUGUGCUGUCGAUAACUCACAUGUUCACCGCUGUCCUGCACCACCAAGUGAUGUCUGAUGCAUUCUCUGUCACUUGUGGGUAUGCAGCAAGGCCUUACACUGCAAGGAGAAAAAAAUGUAGUCUGGAGAAAUUAUAGAGAGGAAAGACCAAUGAUAACUGAUAA